ensembl:rRNA 5S_rRNA 5S ribosomal RNA
GGCAGACUCUUUACCGUCUGAAUGCACCCGAUCUCAUCUGAUCUUGGAAGCGAAGCAGGGCCAGGCCUGGUUGCUGCUGCUGCUGCUGCUAAGUUGCUUCAGUCGUGUCCGACU